ACUCCUACGGGGGGCAGCAGUGGGGAAUCUUCCGCAAUGGGCGCAAGCCUGACGGAGCAAUGCCGCGUGAACGAGGAAGGUCUUCGGAUCGUAAAGCUCUGUUGAAGGGGAAAAAGAGCGGAGAGAGGAAAUGGUCUCCGAUUGAUAUUACCCUUCGAGGAAGUCACGGCUAACUACGUGCCAGCAGCCGCGGUAAUACGUAGGUGGCGAGCGUUAUCCGGAGUGAUUGGGCGUAAAGGGUGCGUAGGCGGCCUGCUAAGUCUGGAGUGAAAGGUACCGGCUCAACCGGUACAGGCUCUGGAAAC
rnacentral:rRNA from 1 species